GACAGUGUAGUGUAGUGGUUAUCACGCUUGUCUCACAUGGUUAAUCGCCUAGUGCUCACAAGAGGCCCCCGGUUCGAGCCCGGGCAUUGUCA